rnacentral:rRNA from 1 species
ACGUAUGGUGCAAGCGUUAUCCGGAUUUACUGGGUGUAAAGGGAGCGUAGACGGAGUGGCAAGUCUGAUGUGAAAACCCGGGGCUCAACCCCGGGACUGCAUUGGAAACUGUCAAUCUAGAGUACCGGAGAGGCAAGCGGAAUUCCUAGUGUAGCGGUGAAAUGCGUAGAUAUUAGGAGGAACACCAGUGGCGAAGGCGGCUUACUGGACGGUAACUGACGUUGAGGCUCGAAAGCGUGGGGAGCAAACAG